AGAGUUUGAUCAUGGCUCAGGAUGAACGCUGGCGGCGUGCCUAACACAUGCAAGUCGAACGGACGAGAAGGGGCUUGCUCCUUUUCGUUAGUGGCGGACGGGUGAGUAACGCGUGGGUAACCUGCCGUAUACAGGGGGAUAACACUUAGAAAUAGGUGCUAAUACCGCAUAAGCGCACAGCGCCGCAUGGUGCAGUGUGAAAAGCCGAGACGGUAUACGAUGGACCCGCGUCUGAUUAGCCAGUUGGCGGGGUAACGGCCCACCAAAGCAGCGAUCAGUAGCCGGCCUGAGAGGGUGGACGGCCACAUUGGGACUGAGACACGGCCCAAACUCCUACGGGAGGCAGCAGUGGGGGAUAUUGCACAAUGGGGGGAACCCUGAUGCAGCGACGCCGCGUGAGUGAAGAAGUAUUUCGGUAUGUAAAGCUCUAUCAGCAGGGAAGAAGGAAGACGGUACCUGAAUAAGAAGCACCGGCUAAAUACGUGCCAGCAGCCGCGGUAAUACGUAUGGUGCAAGCGUUAUCCGGAUUUACUGGGUGUAAAGGGAGCGUAGACGGCAGAGCAAGUCUGAAGUGAAAGCCCGGGGCUCAACCGCGGGACUGCUUUGGAAACUGUUCAGCUGGAGUGCAGGAGAGGUAAGCGGAAUUCCUGGUGUAGCGGUGAAAUGCGUAGAUAUCAGGAGGAACACCGGCGGCGAAGGCGGCUUACUGGACUGUAACUGACGUUGAGGCUCGAAGGCGUGGGGAGCAAACAGGAUUAGAUACCCUGGUAGUCCACGCGGUAAACGAUGAUCACUAGGUG
rnacentral:rRNA from 1 species